CUCUUAUCAGUGAAUGGUGAGAACUCUCCUGAAAUUCAAGUUCCCAGAUACCAGCAAAGGCCAAGCUUGUAAACAGACCUUUCUGUGAAAAAGCAGUGGGGCCUACUCUGAUAACUCUUUUUGUAGGGAAAGUGAGUAGUUUAAAUUGAGGUAACAGGGAAUUGAUGGAUUUUUUAAAAAUGGAAAUAUGUUAUCGUACUGAGAGUUUAAGGAGAGGGUGAUAAUGAUGUUUUGUUUCAUAAGGAUCUGGGGAAGCAGUGUGGGAGUCCUCCAAGGAUCGAAGCAGGCUUCAGAUCCAGAGGCCCUUUGGUCAUCCAUGCAGAGCAAGGAUGGAGAGAAGGGAAUGGAUUUGCAACCACAGCAGGACCCAUGGUUAUUGAGUAAGAGAUGAGGAUACCUUUCCAGGCUAUGAGAGAGGAAGCUGGCAGGCUGGAUCUCUAUCCACCUAGGAGGUCCAGUCAACUAUUGGGGACCUGAAGAUUCUGCAGGGCCAGGCUCUUCUGCUCUCUUUCCUCCUGCCAUCCAGGAGGUGACACUCUCCUGGAUACCACUGGGACUCAAGGACUUACCUAGGUAAAAGGAUUCUGUGGGCCUCUAGACUUCUGCUACUCUAAGUAUGGUCCAUGGACCAGCAACACUGGCAGAAAUGCAAAAUCUCAGGCCCCAGCCCAGACCAGCCCAGGACCCAUGGAGUCAGAACCUGGAUUGUAACAAGAUCUCCAAGAGAUUCAUUAAGGUUUGAGAAGCCCUGCCCUGUUCGGGCCUUCCUGUACUCUGCCUGCAGGAGAGUGGCUGUGGUGGUUAAAUUGAGAUUGGCAUCUGCGAAGCCACACGCUGCUCUGCCUGGGUCCUGCUGGUACUAGCUGUAGAGUCUUGGCAUCAUCUUCCUGUGCGUCAGUCUCUGUUCUGUGAACUGGGAAUAGUGCCUCCUCCAAUGGGUCACUGUGACUUAAAUGAGUCAUUGCAUGUAAAGGCCUUGGAACAGGGCCUGACACAUUGCAAAUGCCAGUAACUAUUAGAUUUGUUGCUAAAUAUGCGUCAGUGGCCCUGGCGGUGCUGGCCCCACCCAGUAAUGUGUACACACAUUCCCCCACUGACCUGGCAAAAGCGUGUCCCCCAACAUACUGCUCUGACGUUAUAGUGCCCCCUUGUGGCUCUGCCCUUAGUCUCCAGGUCUCCUGAGGAGCCCUAGAGUGGGCUAUCUUGUUACAGGACAGCCCUUCCAUUCUGGGAGGUCCCUCUCCUUCCAAGACCUCUUUUAUCCAGGUUAAUCAUUUGUGGUCCUCAGAGCUGAUCUCUGCAGGCCCUGGCUGCUGACCCCUUGGCCAUCCUGGGAGCACAUGGCCAUUUGUCUGUGUCCUUAAAGUACACAGCCGAAGUCAGUCAUUUAGGGAUGGUCUCAUGAUUGUCCCUUCAUGUCUGCUGAGUUUUGGGGACAGGCCAGUAAGGUGGCCAUAGGACAAGGUUCCUCUCCCAAGGGCUACCUCCAGGGUAACCCAGGUAGAAUAGAUGCUGAGCUUCCCAAGAAGGUCCAUGUGGAGCCGCAAAAAAAUGGAACCCCCUGGAGUUCUGGUGAGCACACAAGGGCACAUCUGAGUAAAGGUAAGCCCAGCAGUUCCCUCACAUCUUCAUGAGCUGACUAUAGCAACGUGCCUUGUCACAGAUGGGAGAGGGCAGAUGGUGGCUCAUCCCAAAUGGGCAAUGCUCCGCAACCUUUGGACCACAAUAGGACUUAGAAUUUCCUGUUAAACUUUUGGUCAAUGUUUCUGGAAUGCGAAUAAAGUAAAUCAAAUCCCAAGAGAUAAUAAAGUGUGCUUGCUCUUGC